rnacentral:tRNA from 1 species
UGCGGAGUAGCUCAGCGGCCGAGCAGUCGUCUCAUAAACGAAAGGACGCGGGUUCAAAUCCCGCCUCCGCGA